AGAGCUCCAGUUGUGUCUUGUAAGAAUUGGUCAUUGUUUCAUGGGGACGACUGGCUCCUUUGGGUGGGAUCUGAUGGCAUCUCAUGGAGUUGAGGUUGUCUGCCAACGCUAACUGGCCAGCUCUGACAGGAGGUGCGUGGCCCAGGAGGAGCCAUCAGGCCAGUUCUCUGGGAUACUGCUGUGUCUCCAGCUCUGCAGUUUGCUCUUCGUCACUCAGCGGCAGACGGAGAGGCAGACACGAGCCCCUUGUGAGCCCUCCUCCUUACCGUCAUCUCACAAUGCUCUGAAAUAAGGAGGCAAAUGGCUGAGGUCCCCUCAGUUGUAGAUGUGAUUGAGUUCUAUCUACCAGAAGCAUAUGCCUCCUGGAAGCCUGGUUCUAACACCUCCCACAAAAUCCUUCAAGCACUUUUUUCUGUUCCAAGGUUUGCUUAUGGGGGACCCAGUGAAGUGCUUCAGAGCCCUAGAGAUUUGCUGAGUCAUAUGAGGGGUCAGCAAACUUUUCCUGUAAAGGGUCAGAUAAUAAACAUUUUAAGCUUUGUA
rnacentral:lncRNA from 1 species